ACUCCUACGGGAGGCAGCAGUGGGGAAUAUUGCACAAUGGGCGCAAGCCUGAUGCAGCCAUGCCGCGUGUAUGAAGAAGGCCUUCGGGUUGUAAAGUACUUUCAGCAGUGAGGAAGGCGGGUACGUUAAUAGCGUGCUCGUUUGACGUUAGCUGCAGAAGAAGCACCGGCUAACUCCGUGCCAGCAGCCGCGGUAGACGGAGGGUGCGAGCGUUAAUCGGAAUUACUGGGCGUAAAGCGCAUGCAGGUGGUUUGUUAAGUCAGAUGUGAAAGCCCGGGGCUCAACCUCGGAAUAGCAUUUGAAACUGGCAGACUAGAGUACUGUAGAGGGGGUAGAAUUUCAGGUGUAGCGGUGAAAUGCGUAGAGAUCUGAAGGAAUACCGGUGGCGAAGGCGGCCCCUGGACAGAUACUGACACUCAGAUGCGAAAGCGUGGGGAGCAAACAGGAUUAGAUACCCUGGUAGACUGUC
rnacentral:rRNA from 1 species